rnacentral:rRNA from 1 species
AGCGAACGCUGGCGGCAGGCCUAACACAUGCAAGUCGAACGAAGUCUUCGGACUUAGUGGCGGACGGGUGAGUAACACGUGGGAACGUGCCUUUAGGUUCGGAAUAACUCAGGGAAACUUGUGCUAAUACCGAAUGUGCCCUUCGGGGGAAAGAUUUAUCGCCUUUAGAGCGGCCCGCGUCUGAUUAGCUAGUUGGUGAGGUAAAGGCUCACCAAGGCGACGAUCAGUAGCUGGUCUGAGAGGACGAUCAGCCACAUUGGGACUGAGACACGGCCCAAACUCCUACGGGAGGCAGCAGUGGGGAAUCUUGCGCAAUGGGCGAAAGCCUGACGCAGCCAUGCCGCGUGAAUGAUGAAGGUCUUAGGAUUGUAAAAUUCUUUCACCGGGGACGAUAAUGACGGUACCCGGAGAAGAAACCCCGGCUAACUUCGUGCCAGCCGCCGCCGUAA